UUAUUGGAGAGUUUGAUCCUGGCUCAGGACGAACGCUGGCGGCAUGCCUAAUACAUGCAAGUCGAGCGGACUUGAAGAGAAGCUUGCUUCUCU
rnacentral:rRNA from 1 species